rnacentral:rRNA from 1 species
AACGAACGCUGGCGGCAGGCUUAACACAUGCAAGUCGAACGCUCCGCAAGGAGAGUGGCAGACGGGUGAGUAACACGUGGGAACGUACCCUUUACUACGGAACAACUCCGGGAAACUGGAGCUAAUACCGUAUGUGCCCUUUGGGGGAAAGAUUUAUCGGUAAAGGAUCGGCCCGCGUUGGAUUAGCUAGUUGGUGGGAUAAAGGCCUACCAAGGCGACGAUCCAUAGCUGGUCUGAGAGGAUGAUCAGCCACAUUGGGGAUGAGACACGGCCCAAACGCCUGCGGGAGGCAGCAGUGGGGAAUAUUGGACAAGGGGCGCAAGCCUGAUCCAGCCAUGCCGCGUGUGUGAUGAAGGCCUUAGGGUUGUAAAGCACUUUCACCGGAGAAGAUAAUGACGGUAUCCGGAGAAGAAGCCCCGGCUAACUUCGUGCCAGCCGCCGCCGUAAGAC